rnacentral:rRNA from 1 species
CCCCUUAGAUGUUCUGGGCCGCACGCGUGCUACACUGAGUGGAUCAGCGGGUCAGGUUGCGCGAAAGUGUUUCCUAAUCUUUAAAUCCGCUCGUGAUGGGGAUUGACGGUUGCAAUUUUCCGUCAUGAACGAGGAAUACCUUGUAAGCGCGGGUCAUCAUCCCGCGCUGAAUACGUCCCUGCCCUUUGUACACACCGCCCGUCGCUCCUACCGAUUGAGUGGUCCGGUGAGGCUUUGGGAUCUGAGCGGAAAGAGCGUUUCGCUGUUUCUGCCCGGAAAACUCAGUCGAACCUUAUCAUUUAGAGGAAGGAGAAGUCGUAACA